ensembl:lncRNA
ACUAUAGAUGUUAAACUGGUCUGUCUACCAUAUAUGCAUUUAGAUAACUACAGUAAUAAAAUGUGUUUAAAGUAUAAACAUCUAGAAGACAUGUAUGAUACAUGAUAACAUACAUAAUGACUACAGGUUAUUGACUAUUGAUUCACAUUGUGGACAAGGAGCCAUCAGAGAGGUGGACAAGGAGCCAUCAGAGAGGUGGGCAUGGGCCCAGAGCGAGAGAGAGAUCUGUUUUUGGUGACAUCAACAACAACAAAGAAUCCCACUGCUUGUAUUCUAGCCUGCAGAGUUAUCGAUCCACAUGCCCUGCACCACCAGAUUAAUGAGGAAGGGUCCAUUACACACAAACACAUGACCACACACACACUACAUCACAGAUGAAGAUGCAAUACUUACACAAGAUAG